rnacentral:lncRNA from 1 species
GAAUUAACACCACUGUAGAAACUAUUUCCAGAACCGAAGGUUUGGCCGACCUCUGCAUGCUGCCCUGGUUUUGGUUAAUUCCUGAUGGGCCUGACUGCUUCUCAACUGGCCAGCAUAGCCAUCCUAACCCAACAUAGUCCAUAGCUGCUGUAUUGAUGCUGGCAGCUCCAAAGUUCAUCUCUCCACCCCGUAUCACCACCCCAGUUAUUUCCCAAGCCAAUUCCACCCCUCAACUUCUAGCAAACCCACCCUGAUUCCAAAAACCACCUGGGUUACCACCAGAUCCUCCACUCCCUUCUGUUUAUUGCUGUUGCGUUUAGGUUCAGGUUGCAUAAAUAUAUAUUUAUCAAGUCUUCUCCACAGGGACUGCAUGCCCUUAUCACCUGCGAAUGUGACAAAGGCCCUGGAUGAUUUGGGAAUGAAGGCCCACGUACCGCUUCUCUGUGCUGACAGUACUGAGCUCUUCCACUGUGUCGUCCUCUACACAGCGCCCAAUGGAUAUAUAAAACCUGAAGAGAGUUCCUGAAGGUGCCAACUAGGGAAGCAAACCCCAAGAAGAGACAAGAAUGACAAGCCUCUGCAGAUUGACUUCUCUCCAUAGUAAAAUGGUUUCUCUUCAUAACAGCCCUGGCUGUCCUGGAACUCACUCUAUAGACCAGGCUGGCCUGGCCUCAAACUCACAGAGAUCCACCAGUUCUGGGAUUAAAGGUGAGUGCCACCAUCACCCAAAUAGUAAGAGAUUAUUUCUAUGAGCUACCAAGUUAGCAGCCACACAUUACUUAAUAAGCUAAUUACCUUCUCUGUUUCAGGCGUUACAUUUUUAUAGAAUUUAACUGAGUUUCCAGAAAGCAACUUAAAGAGCAGAGCCAAAUACUCAAUAAUGAUAAACAGAUA